rnacentral:lncRNA from 1 species
CUUCUCAAAAUAUAAAGACAGCCGUCAAGUCAAAUAGAAAUGUACAGCAAACAUUAAUCAUAAGUAAAAACCAUAAACCAUUAGAAAGAAAAAACAUUCAACUGUUUCCCUCAGAAACAUUAUAUGGAUAGAAGGGCUUAGGGUGUUAAACAAAAAACAAAUACACACUAACUUAAAGUUCAUGAUCUUCCAAAUCGCGUUGGCUAAUACUCAUCCUCCACCUUCUCCUACUCACCAGUAUCAUCAUCAUCAUCACCAAUAUCACCAUGAUCAUGUACAUCAUCACCUAUAGUUGAAAAAAGAAAAUCAGUAUUACUAUUCAAGAUAUUUACCAAAAAUCUUAGAGAAGUAAAUAAUAAAGCUCCAGCUCCUCCACCUUUCUUUAUAAAAUCAUUUAAUUUGCAUAACCAAUCUUCUGUAUUAAUUUGCUUUGACAGAAGAAUUUUAAUUUCCU